rnacentral:rRNA from 1 species
CCUUGAAAUACCACCCUUUAAUGUUUGAUGUUCUAACGUGGACCCGUGAUCCGGGUUGCGGACAGUGUCUGGUGGGUAGUUUGACUGGGGCGGUCUCCUCCUAAAGAGUAACGGAGGAGCACGAAGGUUGGCUAAUCCUGGUCGGACAUCAGGAGGUUAGUGCAAUGGCAUAAGCCAGCUUGACUGCGAGCGUGACGGCGCGAGCAGGUGCGAAAGCAGGUCAUAGUGAUCCGGUGGUUCUGAAUGGAAGGGCCAUCGCUCAACGGAUAAAAGGUACUCCGGGGAUAACAGGCUGAUACCGCCCAAGAGUUCAUAUCGACGGCGGUGUUUGGCACCUCGAUGUCGGCUCAUCACAUCCUGGGGCUGAAGUAGGUCCCAAGGGUAUGGCUGUUCGCCAUUUAAAGUGGUACGCGAGCUGGGUUUAGAACGUCGUGAGACAGUUCGGUCCCUAUCUGCCGUGGGCGCUGGAGAACUGAGGGGGGCUGCUCCUAGUACGAGAGGACCGGAGUGGACGCAUCACUGGUGUUCGGGUUGUCAUGCCAAUGGCACUGCCCGGUAGCUAAAUGCGGAAGAGAUAAGUGCUGAAAGCAUCUAAGCACGAAACUUGCCCCGAGAUGAGUUCUCCCUGAC